UGGGGAGAAUCCGGGGGAAAAAACAUCGGGAAUGGGGAGAGUGUGGGGAAAAUGGGCAGAAAAGGGGGGAAAAAGUCGAUGGGAGGUGGGGAAAAAUGGGAGAAAUCUGUGGGAAGUGAAGGGAAAAACCCCGGGAAUGGGGAGAAUCCGUGGGAAAUCCAUGGGAGAUUCGUGGGAAAUGGGGAAAAAUCCAUGGGGAAAAAUCCAUGGGAAAUGGGGAAAAGUGGGAGAAAAAUCCAUGGGAAAUGGGGAAUUGGUGGGAAAUCCAUGGGAGAUUCAUGGGAAAUAGGGAAAAAUCCACGGGAAAUGGGGAAAAAUCCAUGGGAAAUGGGGAAUUGGUGGGAAAUCCAUGGGAGAUUCAUGGGAAAUAGGGAAAAAUCCACGGGAAAUGGGGAAAAAUCCAUGGGAAAUGGGGAAAAAUCCACGGGAAAUGGGGAAAAAUCCAUGGGAAAUGGGGAAAAAUCCAUGGGAAAUGGUGAAAAAUCCAUGGGAAAUAGGGAAAAAUCCAUGGGAAAUGGGGAAAAAUCCACGGGAAAUGGGGAAAAAUCCAUGGGAAAUGGGGAAAAGUGGGAGAAAAAUCCACGGGAAAUAGGAAAAAAUCCAUGGGAAAUGGGGAAAAAUCCACAGGAAAUGGGGAAAAACGGGAAAAAUCCACGGGAAAUGGUGAAAAGUGGGAGAACGGGAGAAAAAUCCACAGGAAACGGGGAAAGACAGGAUGGAAAUCCACGGGAAAUGGGGAAAAAUCCAUGGGAAAUGAGGAAAAAUCCAUGGGAAACCUGCUGGAAAUGGGGAAAACGGGAGAAAAAUCCACGGGAAAUAUGAAAAAAUCCAUGGGAAAUGGGGAAAAAUCCAUGGGAAACCUGCUGGAAAUGGGGAAAACGGGAGAAAAAUCCAUGGGAAAUGGGGAAAAAUCCACGGGAAAUGGGGAAAAGUGGGAGAACGGGAGAAAAAUCCACAGGAAACGGGGAAAGACAGGAUGGAAAUCCACAGGAAAUGGGGAAAAAUCCAUGGGAAAUGAGGAAAAAUCCAUGGGAAAUGGGGAAAAAUCCAUGGGAAAUGAGGAAAAAUCCAUGGGAAACCUGCUGGAAAUGGGGAAAACGGGAGAAAAAUCCACGGGAAAUAGGGAAAAAUCCAUGGGAAAUGGGGAAAAGUGGGAGAACGGGAGAAAAAUCCACAGGAAACGGGGAAAGAUAGGAUGGAAAUCCACAGGAAAUGGGGAAAAAUCCAUGGGAAAUGAGGAAAAAUCCAUGGGAAAUGGGGAAAAGUGGGAGAAAAAUCCACGGGAAAUACGAAAAAAUCCAUGGGAAAUGAGGAAAAAUCCAUGGGAAACCUGCUGGAAAUGGGGAAAACGGGAGAAAAGUCCAAGGGAAAUGGGGAAAAAUCCACGGGAAAUGGGGAAAAGUGGGAGAAUGGGAGAAAAAUCCACAGGAAACGGGGAAAGACAGGAUGGAAAUCCACAGGAAAUGGGGAAAAAUCCACGGGAAAUGGGGAAAAAUCCAUGGGAAACCUGCUGGAAAUGGGGAAAACGGGAGAAAAAUCCACGGGAAAUGGGGAAAGACAGGAUGGAAAUCCACGGGAAAAGGGGAAAGACAGGAUGGAAAUCCACGGGAAAUGGGGAAAGACAGGAUGGAAAUCCACGGGAAAUGGGGAAAAACUGGUAAAAAACCAACGAGAAACGGUGAAAAAAUCCACAAGAAAUGGGAAUUUCUCCUGGAUUCCCGCGAGGACGAGGAGAACNNNNNNNNNNNNNNNNNNNNAUCCCAGGAUUUUUCCUCAAAAUCUCACGGUUUUUUUUCCCAAAAUUAAAGGUUUUUUUCCCUAAAAUCCCAGUGUUUUUCCUCAAAAUCCCAGGGAUUUCUUUCCCUAAAAUCCCAGGAAUCUCCUUCCCCAAAAUCCCAGGUUUUUCCCCAAAAUCCCAGGCUUUUUCCCCAG
ensembl:lncRNA